GACGAAACGCUGGCGGCGUGCUUAACACAUGCAAGUCGAGCGGUAAGGCCCUUUCGGGGGGUACACGAGCGGCGAACGGGUGAGUAACACGUGGGUGACCUGCCUCUAGCUCUGGGAUAAGCCCGGGAAACUGGGUCUAAUACUGGAUAUGACUCCAUGACGCAUGUUGUGGGGGUGAAAGCCUUGUGCGGCUAGAGAUGGGCCCG
rnacentral:rRNA from 1 species